rnacentral:tRNA from 1 species
GGAGAGGUGUCUGAGUGGUUUAAGGAGACAGUCUUGAAAACUGUUGUACCUUCACGGGUACCGUGAGUUCGAAUCUCACCCUCUCCGCCA